rnacentral:rRNA from 1 species
GAUGAACGCUGGCGGCGUGCUUAACACAUGCAAGUCGAACGAAGUGGCGAACGGGUGAGUAACGCGUAAUCCACCUGCCCUUCAGAGGGGGACAACAGUUGGAAACGACUGCUAAUACCGCAUACUGAAGGAGGGGAUUGCGGCUGCUUAGCUAGUUGGAGGGGUAACGGCCCACCAAGGCGAGGAUCAGUAGCCGGUCUGAGAGGAGGAACGGCCACAUUGAGACUGCGACACGGCCCAGACGCCGUCGGGAGGCAGCAGGGGGGAAUCUUCCGCAAUGGACGAAAGUCUGACGGAGCAACGCCGCGUGAGUGAUGACGGCCUUCGGGUUGUAAAGCUCUGUUAAUCGGGACGCGGUACCGGAAUAGAAAGCCACGGCUAACUACGUGCCAGCAGCCGCGGUAAUUC